GAUGAACGCUGGCGGCGUGCCUAAUACAUGCAAGUCGAGCGAAUGGAUUAAGAGCUUGCUCUUAUGAAGUUAGCGGCGGACGGGUGAGUAACACGUGGGUAACCUGCCCAUAAGACUGGGAUAACUCCGGGAAACCGGGGCUAAUACCGGAUAACAUUUUGAACCGCAUGGUUCGAAAUUGAAAGGCGGCUUCGGCUGUCACUUAUGGAUGGACCCGCGUCGCAUUAGCUAGUUGGUGAGGUAACGGCUCACCAAGGCAACGAUGCGUAGCCGACCUGAGAGGGUGAUCGGCAACACAGGGACUGAGACACGGCCCAGACGCCUACGGGAGGCAGCAGUAGGGAAUCUUCCGCAAUGGACGAAAGUCUGACGGAGCAACGCCGCGUGAGUGAGGAAGGCUUUCGGGUCGUAAAACUCUGUUGUUAGGGAAGAACAAGUGCUAGUUGAAUAAGCUGGCACCUUGACGGUACCUAGCCAGAAAGCCACGGCUAACUACGUGCCAGCCGCCGCAGUAA
rnacentral:rRNA from 1 species